GAUGUCACCAGUGAUAAUUUUUCUUACUGUCUUUUUCGGUGCCGUGGCCCCCGAGACAGUGAGGGAGCCCCAUGGUGAUAGAGCAGUGCCUUGGGUCAGCGGCGUCGCGAGGGAGAUGGGAAGAGCCGCUGGCCAUGUGUUGUCUUCGCUCCCCGAGGCCAGAAGAAGAGCGAGUGGCCAUGUACAUGUGUGUUUUCAUGGCGGGCCUGAUAUCAACUUUCUAAGGGCGAUGGUGUCUGGAGGUGAGGAGGGAGGGGUGGCCCUCACCGUCUGGACCACACCUGCCUGGGGGUCACUUCUGGAGCGCACCACUUAUCAUACCAGAGCCACACAUGUCUUAGUGGGGCCCGCUAUGUGGCUACAGGACUGGCUUGGCAUAGUUCAAAAGAAGACUGCCAUUAAUAACAUUGGCAAACAGAUGACGCAGUGGUUAUUUAUUUCAACCCAGAACAAAAACAGGGACUUUCAGGAAGCACUGGUGCAUCGUCUACCAGAGCAACUGCACUUCCUUCUCCUUCAGAGGGUCAGCCGGCCGUCAUCUCUCCCUCUCAGCCGGAGCACCACUAAAUACAUGCACUGGCAGAGAAAGGGACAAAGAGGUACAAGAAAUGAGGAUGAGGAUGGUUCUGGAAUUCAAGGAGUGAAAAAUUGUACAAAAGACUGGUGCUUAGUGGAGGGAAAAGUUGAGGCAGUGGAUUUAGGUGAUGGAAAAUAUGCAGCUUUCCAUCAACACAGUACAGCUGGAGGAGCUCUUCAUUUCAAGCCGAGAGCUGAAGGAGAAAGCUUAAAGGUGUUCUUAAGCAAUGCUGCUGGUGAAAGCCUUGAGCAAGUAGGAGACUCUAGGAUAAUGUUGCAUGGAAGUACAGUGGUUACAGGCAAAGGAAAAGGUCUUGAAUCUUUGGCUAGAGAUAUUAGAAGUAAGAAAAUUAUGUUCUCUAGAAAUACAGACCCCACUGAUAAUGAUAUGAGCUCUACAUCAGAAGACAAACCAAAGAGACUUACAGAAACCUUUCACCAAAUUUCAAGAACUUCCUUGACUUUAGAUGAGGUUGCCAUUGAGCUCCUGAUGGCUGUGUAUAGGAGUAAUGGCAGUGCCUCCUUCAAGAAGCGAGGGUAUUGGAGCACUGCCCAGGAGUUGGUCCUGAAUGGGCCUCUUCAAGCUCCUCCUGCUCCUUACUUUGGUGGGAGAAUCCUCACCCUCACCACCCUUCAUAAACCAGGAGUAUUUGAGCCACACUCCAGUGGGCGGAUGGAUGCAGCAGGAGGGUACAUCGCUGAGAUACUGAGGGACCUGCAGCACCACCUCCACUUCACCUCUCUCGUCACCACCACCAACGCCUGGGGCACCAAGAGGAAUGACACCUGGAAUGGGAUGGUCGGGUUCCUUACUCGACGGGAGGCAGAUCUUGCACCCUUAGACUUCUCCCCAUCAUGGACUCGCCUCCCUGUGGUGGACUUUAGCGAGGUGUUCAGCACAGAUGGCAUCAUCAUCAUAUCCCAGGCACCGAGGCCCCUCAUGCCUCCCUUUCUUCUGCUGCAGGUGUUCUCCAUUGGGGUGUGGGCUUCUGUUGUGGCAGUGGGACUUCUAGCUGGCAAUGCACUCUGGGGGCUGGAAUGUAUCUACAAUUACUAUACCAAAUCAGAAUCCAAACAGUUAUCUACUACAUCAAACCAUCACUAUCCAUCCUACUGGGAAACUUUGGCUGUGGUACUCAAGCUCUUUCUUGUCCAGAGUAGUAGCAAGAGGCAAUGGAGUCGCUUGUGGUCUGGACGCAUCCUCUCCUCAUUCUUCUUCCUGGUGGCACUCUCGGUCGUGGCUCUCUAUCAGGGUUCCAUCAUCGCCUUCCUGGCCGUCCCACGCAACACUCAGCCCAUUGACUCAGCUGCUGACCUCAUGGAACGGCUAGACUCUGUGGUGCCAAUUGUCAGGAAGAACACCGUUUAUUAUAACUUUAUCGUGAUACUUACUCAUCAGGCGUGGGUCGGGCAGCCAACUUUGAGGCUCAGGGGAAGAAGUGUCGCUUUUAUGCCUCCAGGAAGCUGAUGAAGACUGACCUUGACCUCAUGAUCCACCCUCAGAAUUCUGUCUACAGGCACCACAUUGACCAGGCGUGAGUCACUGUGGUUGCGCCAACUUCGCUCCUUUGGCCUCAUUGACAAAAUCAAGUCAGACUAUUUCAGCUCCCCCUGCAGCCAAGAGACAGGCCAGCGGGAUCCUCUCUCUCUUUCCCUCACACAG
rnacentral:misc_RNA from 1 species